AUUUGGGUCGUUUUCGACGAGAGUUCGGAGUUUAAAGGGUAUAAAAUAUUAACAAAAAAUAUAUAAAAGUUUAUAUUAACCAAAAUGGAAAAAUACACUGGAGCAACAGCGAUUUCCUCCGCCUGAAAAAGCAAAAUCGCUGCCUAGGCAGUUUGAAUUUUUCAUUUUUUUAAAAAAAAUGAAUCGUAAAAAAAAUUAUUUUUUUUUAAAAAAGCAGCGAUUUCCUUGAAAAAGAAACACUGCAAAUCGUUGUUGUUUCAGCGAUUUUACCAUUUUAGUUAACAUAAAAUCUUAAAUAUCGUUUUGAAAUUUUUGUUAAUAUUUUAUAUCCUUUAGGCUCCAGACUCUUUUCAAUGACGUAGAUAUAUAGUGACUAGUGAGUUUGAUUUGAAAGAUAUAGUAGACCAAAAUAAUAUGUUAUAAUUUCCUAAAACCCCUCGAGCCAUGGGAUUUCAUAAUUCUAAUGUGCCACUACCGCUAUGCUGUCAUUAACUAUUCGCGUAUUAGUAAAUGUAUGAUUAGUUAUUUAUUUUUUAUUUUGUAUAAAUCUAAUACUUAAAUUAACUCAUUAUUUCAGAAGUUUUUAUGUUUAAUUGUAAAUUAGUAUUAAAUAUUACAUUCGAUAUGUUGAAUUUUAUACGUGUCAAUUAAAAUGCUACUUACGUUGAUUUUAAAUCAUGAACAAUUUACUUCUGUAACUAGUAAUCAAAACAGUCCUCGAAGUGUCUAUGAAAAGUUUGCAGUAACAUAGAAAGUUAGUUUAAUCAAUGGUGGAGUUUUGGAGCUUCACUUGGAGAUUCAAAAUAUGGAAAAAAGAUAAUUAAAGUACAUGAAUAAAUUUUUGGAUAAUAAAAUUAAUCUUAUUUAUAUAAUGAUUGUUUUUUCUGAUGUAAAGAUUCAAAUGAAAUCGUUGUAAUUCAAAUUUUUUUUCCAGUAUUUGACUAUAAGAUUAAUGAACAAUCUUUUGAUCUAUGUGUCGCUCCAUAUUCAGUCAUGUCUAAUUAGAAGUUUCAAAAUGUAUUUUGACUAGUAGGGUUAAUGAAUGAUCCUUUGAUCUACGUGUCGCUCCAAAUUCAGUCAUGUCUGAUUAGAAGUUUCGAAAUGAACGGAGUUAGGGGGGAAAAGGGUAGUGAGGCUUAGAUUGUGCUUUAGUUAAGCCUACAAAAGAAGAAAACCAAAAAUAGAUUGUUUCUCUUGUCAUCAUAUCAACUUAAUUAUUACUUUCAUGUUCACACCUCUUAAUUAUCAUAAUAAAGAUAUUAAUAAAGUUUAUAAUUCCCUGUAUUUAGACCAACAAGAGAUAGAGAUGCUUGACUUGGAGACUUGGAAAAAUGGAUUGAAGUAUACAUUUAAAAGGAAUAAUUUAUGCUUAACUUGGUUAAAGUAAUAAACUUCUUAUGUAUAAUUACCUACAUGUAGGCCAGACUAUAUUUUUAAGGCACUCAUUGUCAGCUGUAUUUGACUUGCUCACUAAUUUUUUGACUUCCAUUCUCCAACAAUUUUCUCACACACACCCCACCCCCACCCCCACCCACACCCACGUACACAUACAUAUAUAAUCAUGGAAAGAUUUUAAAAUUAACUUUGCAUAAUUGACAUGCAUGGUACAUGGUGGUUAAUUUUAGAGAUAAUACAAUACUUAAGCAAAUAAAUAUGAUAGUUAGAUGCUAAACAUAAUUAGGCUAUCAUUGUGACUAUAUAUAGCAUUUGAUUUCUCCUUUCUUGAAGCCAAGGGAACAUCAAUAAUCAUGACAUAGUGUUACCAAUUCACCAUGCAAGUUCAUCAUUGAAUAUCAACCUUUUUUGUUUUUGUCCUCUUUAAACUAAAGUAAGAUUAAUGGAAAAAAAGGGGUACAUUUUCAUAACACUCAUGACUUUCUAACUUUUUUUUUUCCAUAGUUAAUUUAUGUUUUUAUUUAUUGAGAGAUUCAAUUAUUUCAAAUUUAUUCGCAUGUGAUCUAAUAAAGUGGAAGUGCUCUUAAUUAUCAAGAUUUUUUUACUAUUAGAUUCAAAUCGAGAUCGAUCUCUAAUUAAAAAUGAAAUGAGUAUAUUCACCCUCACUACAAUUAAUGAUAAUCUUGAACUAGCAUAUAAUUUUUGUGUAGUUUAUAGUUGGUGAUAUAAUUUUUUCUUAUUCGGUGUCCGAUCUCUAAAUUGGAAUCAUAUUAAAUCAGGAUUUGUGCUGGAAAGAUAAAAACAAUUCGAUACAUAUGAAAACUUGAGUUCAAAAUCUUUGAUUAAGGAUGAAGGGAUACUUACAACUCCAUUACCAUUGUAAUUGGUAGUGAUAAUUCUUGUUGGGGUGCAAUUCAAGUAUAAUAGGACAAGCAUGACUCAUAUUUUACAACUUAAAUAAGUAGUACUACACAACUAGUAAAUUAUGAGUCACUUGCUUGAAAACUUUGGAGACAAACGCCAUUGGUCAAAAUGAUGUGGAAAAGGCAUUUACAGAGAACCAUUUUUUUAUAUACUUUCAACACCAACUUUAUAUCAUAAGGACCAUCUUGUUGUUGAAACUUUAAAAGCAAGGUUUCAAAAAAAGAAAAAAAGUUGAAACGUCAAAAAAUGUUUAAGUUUUAUCAUGCAAAUAUGCAAUUAUUAAAGUCACGAGCCUUGGAAUUUAGUUUAUUUUAUACUGUACAUUGUACAAUAAUGCUUGGCCUACUAGUUAGAAAUUUUUCUUCAAGGAAAUAAUAUAAGUAGUUUGCACAAAUUUUGUAAAUCUUUUCUUUCUUGUUUAUAACGUGGGAUGUUAGAAUUGAUUUUCUUUUAAUUAUUAACUUUUUUCUUUUUUAAAAACUCCUCUUAGGAGCUUGUUAUUUUGCUUUCACUCGAAUUCACAAUCUCAAAAUUGGAAGUAGAGGGUGUCUAUCUGUUGAGCAACCCUUUCUUGUCGAUCAAGCAAUUGAUUAUUCUUUUAAAAAUCUUCCUAGGUGCAUUUCCUUUCUCUCUUCGUGACUCAAAUUUAAAAUUGGAGGAUGGGGUGUGCUUAUCACUUGAGCAACCCUCUCUUUUUCGUUAUUGACUGAGCAAAUUAAUUACUCAAUUUUCAAAUAUAUCUACUUUUAAGGACUGCUAUUUAAAAUAUAGCCAGCAUUUGCAAAACUCCAAUUCAAAGAGUGGAACCCUCUCUUUGUUGUUGACUGAGCAAAUUAAUUACUCAAUUUUCAAAAAUAUCUACUUUUAAGGACUGCUAUUUAAAAUAUAGCCAGCAUUUGCAAAACUCCAAUUUGAAGAGUGGAACUAAGAUACAUUUGCAAAUUAAGCCAAUUUUUUUUCCACCUAAACUCUAGCCUUACUGUCCAUAUAAAUUUGCAAAAUGAUGAUGAAUUGUUUUUAACAAAAUAGCUGAUUCAAACACUUCGAAAUAUACAUUUAUCUGCAAUUAAUGACUAAUGUCAUCUCUCAAGCACCACUUUAUUGAAUCCACCCACUUUAGAAUUAUGAAUUCUUCAAAAUUAAAAUAAUUUGUAUAAAAUAAUUUGCAUUAAUAUUUUAACGGUUUUGCAUAUCUGUCUAGUGAUGAAUUAUUUUAUGCGCAAAAAAUACGUUUGGAGACUCUUUAGGACCAAUCGCAACCUAUAAUCUUGAUAAUUGUGAUUUUUUUUAUUAUUAUUGUUAGUAUCAAAGUUUAUCUAUAUGACUAUAUCUCAUGCAUUAAUCACGCUUAUUCUUAUAAAAAAAAAUUGUCUAUGAAUUUUAAAAUCCCCCUCUAUCUAUCUAUCUAUCUUAUUGUUUUUUCUCUCUUUUCUUUUUUCCUAUCAUUUUGUUUUCUUUCUUUGCAAUUUUAGAAAUUUUGUUCCCUCAAAAAAUUACCAACUAAUUGUUAAGAGUCCCUCUUUGGUUUUUCAUUCCCAAUUUAUCAAGAAAUAGGUAAUAAGAAUAACAGUGCAUUUUGAGGAAUAUUCAGAUGGAGGCAGAAGUGCAAACUGCAUAAUAGGGUGCUGCAUUUGUGAGGUCAAGGUUUCAAAGGGUCUCUUCUUCUGAUAAGUUUUUCUAGUGAUACUCUAGCUCAAAAUGGGUGAGAUGGUUGUUGGCAUACCUGCACAUCUGGAGAGAAUUGAGCGUGAUGCUCGCUUUUUGAGAAGGAACUCAACUGGCAGCUUUGGCUUUCAAAUUGAUAAAUCCAAGGUCUUGUCACGUUACCUG
rnacentral:lncRNA from 1 species